AUUUAACCGAGGAGUCCCAUAAUAGGACGAAACGGCCGUUCAAU
rnacentral:hammerhead_ribozyme from 1 species